CUGACCAACCUGACUCAAAGGUCUCCUCGUGACUGGAGCGAUCUGUCCUUCCAGCCCCUUGACACAAAUUGAUUCCUAUUAACUUUCCUAGUCCCAUGCUGAACUCCACAGGUGUCAGGUAUCCAUUAUUGUUCUGCUCCAAGCUGUCAAAAACAGUCUCCAGCUGCUCAGGGGUUAGGGGGAGCUCACUCUGAAGCCUCUGCAUGUCCAAUUUGGUGAUG
rnacentral:lncRNA from 1 species